rnacentral:rRNA from 1 species
AUGUUGAUGGCCGCCAGGGUGAAGAUGAAGAAGGGCGCCAGGCACAGCAGGAUGAAAGUCGCCGCGUGCACGUACGCAUUGCCGAACCCCAGACGCCCGGCGUUCCACCCGAACACGCAGCAGCUGCAGAACAGCGACAGGUACGCCAGCGAGAUGUCCUCCCACAGGUCCCACACCAGCCCGCCCGACCACUCAGGCGCCGCCACUGCCACGGUGCCUUCUUCUUCUUCUCCCACCUCAACGACGACGGCACCGGCAGCGCCCAUUUCUAGUCCUUGUCGCUGCGGCGGAGAAGGGGAGAAGGAGUACCUCCUCUCGACGGUCUUGUGCUGGAGCCGCUGCCGCGAGCCCGAAGAAGAAGACUCCUGCUCCUCAGCGCGUACUGCGCCAAGCAGUUGA